UGAUUGGUGGGACAGGGCCACCGCUGCACUUAAAGCCUCCGACUGCAAUCGCUGCGAGCAGAUGAGGAAGUGUCCUGGCUCACUGUGAGCCGAGCCCCAACCAUGCAGCCCCUCCAGCGUGCCCACCUGCUCCUCCUGCUCGCCCUGCUUGUCCUCUGCAUGCCCCUUGGUCAGGCGGAGACAGAGGUGGUCACACGCACCUCCCUCACCACUCCAGGCCCCCUUGCAAAAAGCCUGAGCCCCCCCAGCGGCAGCCCACCCCUCCUCUCCCUCGCCCUGGGGCUGGCUGCGGCUUUCUUCCUGCGGCUGCGCUGACUCGGAGGGGGCCCACAGUGCACCCCAAGUUCCCCGGGGUGCAUGAAGAAGCCACCCCCCAGAAUGACAUCCCCUGCACCGGCACCUCCUUGGACCCUUGCAGCAUGAAGGACCAGCCAGCAUGACGCCAUCACGCCCGUCCCUGCCUCCCUCUCCUCCGUGCUCCCCUCACCCUCCAGCCUCGAAAACAAAUCCCGAAGCUGCCCUGGCUUGAAGCAAGGCCCAAGGACUGGCUCAGGAGCGGGCCUGCUAUGAGGCUCAGAGAAAUAAAUCCUUGGUGUAGACGC